rnacentral:rRNA from 1 species
AGUGAACGCUGGCGGUAGGCCUAACACAUGCAAGUCGAACGGCAGCACAGAGGAGCUUGCUCCUUGGGUGGCGAGUGGCGGACGGGUGAGGAAUACAUCGGAAUCUACUCUGUCGUGGGGGAUAACGUAGGGAAACUUACGCUAAUACCGCAUACGACCUACGGGUGAAAGCAGGGGACCUUCGGGCCUUGCGCGAUUGAAUGAGCCGAUAUCGGAUUAGCUAGUUGGCGGGGUAAAGGCCCACCAAGGCGACGAUCCGUAGCUGGUCUGAGAGGAUGAUCAGCCACACUGGAACUGAGACACGGUCCAGACUCCUACGGGAGGCAGCAGUGGGGAAUAUUGGACAAUGGGCGCAAGCCUGAUCCAGCCAUACCGCGUGGGUGAAGAAGGCCUUCGGGUUGUAAAGCCCUUUUGUUGGGAAAGAAAUCCAGCUGGCUAAUACCCGGUUGGGAUGACGGUACCCAAAGAAUAAGCACCGGCUAACUUCGUGCUAGCAGCCGCCGCCG